GCCCCAGACUCCUACGGGAGGCAGCAGUGGGGGAUAUUGCACAAUGGGGGAAACCCUGAUGCAGCGACGCCGCGUGUGGGAAGACGGUCUUCUGGAUUGUAAACCACUGUCCCCAGGGACGAAAAUGACGGUACCUGGGGAGGAAGCUCCGGCUAACUACGUGCCAGCAGCCGCGGUAAUACGUAGGGGGCAAGCGUUAUCCGGAUUUACUGGGUGUAAAGGGGGCGCAGACGGCAAUGCAAGCCAGGAGUGAAAGCCCGGGGCCCAACCCCGGGACUGCUCUUGGAACUGCAUGGCUGGAGUACAGGAGGGGCAGGCGGAAUUCCUAGUGUAGCGGUGAAAUGCGUAGAUAUUAGGAGGAACACCGGUGGCGAAGGCGGCCUGCUGGACAGUAACUGACGUUGAGGCUCGAAAGCGUGGGGAGCAAACAGGAUUAGAUACCCCAGUAC
rnacentral:rRNA from 1 species